rnacentral:rRNA from 1 species
GGCCAGCCGCCGCGGGUAAUAACCGCGCCCCAAGUGGUGGCCACUAUUAUUGGGCCUAAGAGCGUCCGUAGCCGGCCCGGAAAGUCUACGGUCAAAGCCCACUGCAAACAGUGGAAUUGCCGUAGAUACUACUGGGCUAGGGACCGGGAUAGGCCGGGGGUACGGCCGAGGUAGGGGUUAAAUCCGUUAAUCUCGGCAGGACCACCUGUGGCGAAGGCGCCCGGCUGGAACGGCUCCGACGGUGAGGGACGAAAGCUGGGGGAGCGAUCGGGAUUAGAUACCCCGGUAGUCC